rnacentral:rRNA from 1 species
UAACCCGCACCACUUAUCGUGGUGGGAGACAGUGUCAGGCGGGCAGUUUGACUGGGGCGGUCGCCUCCUAAAAGGGAACGGAGGCGCUCAAAGGUUCCCUCAGAAUGGUUGGAAAUCAUUCAUAGAGGGUAAAGGCAUAAGGGAGCUUGACUGCGAGACCUACAAGUCGAGCAGGGUCGAAAGACGGACUUAGUGAUCCGGUG